rnacentral:rRNA from 1 species
UGCAAGUCGAGGGGUAGAAGGAGCUUGCUCCUUUGAGACCGGCGCACGGGUGCGUAACGCGUAUGCAAUCUACCUUGUACAGGGGGAUAGCCCAGAGAAAUUUGGAUUAAUACCCCAUAGUAUUUUCAGAUGGCCUCAUUUGAUUAUUAAAGUUCCAACGGUACAAGAUGAGCAUGCGUCCCAUUAGCUAGUUGGUGUGGUAACGGCAUACCAAGGCAACGAUGGGUAGGGGUCCUGAGAGGGAGAUCCCCCACACUGGUACUGAGACACGGACCAGACUCCUACGGGAGGCAGCAGUGAGGAAUAUUGGUCAAUGGGCGCAAGCCUGAACCAGCCAUGCCGCGUGCAGGAUGACGGUCCUAUGGAUUGUAAACUGCUUUUGUACAGGAAGAAACCCUCCCUUGUAAGGGAGCUUGACGGUACUGUAAGAAUAAGGAUCGGCUAACUCCGUGCCAGCAGCCGCGGUAAUACGGAGGAUCCAAGCGUUAUCCGGAAUCAUUGGGUUUAAAGGGUCCGUAGGCGGUUUUAUAAGUCAGUGGUGAAAUCUGGUCGCUCAACGAUCAAACGGCCAUUGAUACUGUAAGACUUGAAUUACUUGGAAGUAACUAGAAUAUGUAGUGUAGCGGUGAAAUGCUUAGAGAUUACAUGGAAUACCGAUUGCGAAGGCAGGUUACUACGAGUAUAUUGACGCUGAUGGACGAAAGCGUGGGGAGCGAACAGGAUUAGAUACCCUGGGUAGUCCACGCCGUAAACGAUGGAUACUAGCUGUUUGGAGCAAUCUGAGUGGCUAAGCGAAAGUGAUAAGUAUCCCACCUGGGGGAGUACGCUCGCAG